AAAUAGAGGUUUGUGCAAGGAAAGUUUGGGCAUGGAUUCGGGUACUAAAAAUGGGUUUUUUGAUUUGGAGUAGCUUCCAAUGGUGAGUUCCAAGGACCGUCAGUUCUAUUACCAGCCGAAGGGGAUUCACAAUGUUGUAAACUGCCUGAUGAGUUGAGUAAAUCACCAACAGAUAUGGUGGAUUUCGUGGCAACUAUGGAGGGUAGAAUUUCUGGGUUUGAGCAGGGUCAUGCAACCACAAAGAUUUAGCUAAAAAACCAAAAGAUGAUGAACUAAUGGAUUUGACUAACGCUAAGGUUAGUUGCUAACAGUAUUGUUGCUACUAGGUUUCUCUUUUGUCCUUUCAUAAAUGGACACAAAAAUUAUUUUUUUGGAAUUGUUAAGGUAUGGGUCAUCCAUGCUUUCAUAAUUUUGUUUCUGAGUAUCAAAAGGAGUUUCAACUAGAGAUUGUUUGUCUUUUUGAAACCCGGACGAGUGGUGUGCGUGCUGAUAGAAUUAUUUCUCAAAUCAGAAUGGCCUGGUCAUGUAGGAUUGAAGCUAAUGGUUUUAGCAGUGGUAUUUGGAACCUUUGGAAUGAAAUAGUUUCAAUUGAUAUUCUAGCUAUUCACCCUCAAAUGGUUCAUAUGAAGGUUUGUAGCAAGAAUGACUCUUCUAGUUUCAUUUGCACUGUAGUUUAUGCUAGUCCACAACAAAGGCAGAGGAAAGAUUUCUGGUAUAUAUUGGAUGUUAUGGCAAACUCAAUUUCUAAACCAUGGCUAAUUACUGGUGAUUUGAACUAGGUGUUAAAUGAGUCGGAAAGGGUUGGAGCUGCUUCUCAGUCACGACUUGGUUGCAAGUGGUUUCAGACAUUCUUGUUUGAUUAUAAGAUUCGAGAUUUGGGUUAUAGUUGUUCGCAAUUCACUUGGAGUAGAGGGAAUUUAUCUCAGCGUCUUGAUAAGGUAAUUUCUAACUCUGAAUGGGACUUCUUUGCGCCCAACUAUGCUGUCCAUAAUCUUCAUAGACUAAAAUUAGAUAAUCGUCCUAUUUUGGUCUCUUUAAGGCUGAAUUUUCAAUGGGACAGUCGACCGUUUCAGUGUCUACCUAGUCAGAUGCUUCAUGCCGAGUUUAAAGAGCUUGUGAGGAAAACUUAAAGAUUUGAUGAUGGUAUUGUGAGGAAUUUAAAAUGUUUCCAUAAUGUGGUGCAAGAUUGGACCAAGCUGGUAUAUGGAAAUAUCUUUAUUUGUAAGAGGAACCUUAUCUCGGAACUGAACAGGGUGCAAAAAAUUCUUUAUUUAUGGUCAUCAGUGCACCUCUAAGAAUGUGAAUUACAAUUAAGACAAGAGGUUGAAGAAAUUUUGUACCAUGAGGAAUUACUAUGGUUCCAAAAAUCUAGAUUGAAUUGGCUUUCACAUGGCAACAGAAAUAAAAGCUAUUUCCAUGGUCGUACUCUAGCAAGACAGAGGAGAAAUAAGAUUAAAGGUUUAAAUCUUGAAAAUGAUGAAUGGUGUUUUGAUGAUGCUUCCUUGAAACAUCAUGUUCUGCACUACUUCAAAGACUUGUUUGUAGCUGAAUAUUCGGUUAAUGAUUCUCUUCCUAGCCAAGGUAAGUUCCCUUCAAUAUCCAUGGCUGAUAUGGAAUGUUUAAAGCUGACUAUAAAUUAUGAUGAAAUUCACAAAGCUGUUUUUAGCAUGGCACCCUUGAAGGCUCUAGGAAUUUACAGUUUCCAUGCUAAAUUCUAUGAGGAAAACUGGGACAUUGUUGGUGCCUCGAUUUGUUCUAUGGUUAGGCACAUCAUAGGAGGUGAGCCUCUUCAUCCUACGAUUGAUAAAAUGUUGAUUGUUUUAUUGUUGAAUGUUCAAGGGCCAGAGAGGAUUUCUCAGUUUAGGCCAAUUAGCCUAUGUACGGUGGUUUAUAAGAUUAUAACGAAAAUAAUAGUUAACAGACUGAGGCCUCUGAUGAUGAAGCUCACUAAUCAGAACCAAGCUAGAUUUGUUACAUGAAGGUAUAUUACAGAUAAUAUUGUGGUUGCUUAUGAAGCCAUUCACUCUAUGAGGUGUUUCAAGCUAGUAAGCUUUCUUUGGCGGGCAGAAUCACGUUGGUUAAAUCGUUGUUGUGUAGUAUACCCAAUUAUUUUAUGAGUACCAUUCACAUUUCUCUCUCUAUCUUCAGUGAAAUUGAGAAGUUAGCCGUAACUUCAAUUGGGGUUUGACAUCUCAGUCCAAGAAAACAACUUUAGUUUCUUGGAAAAAUUAUUGUUUUCCUCUUGAGACUAGGGGCCUCGGCCUUUGGAUCUUAUUUGUUUAGAAUAAGAUUUUCUAAUUGAAAUUGAGUUUCCAGAUUCUUCCUAAUAUGGAAGCAAUGUGGGUUCAUUUAUUGAGAAGUAAAUAUAGAGUUCAAGGGGUCUUUCUGUUGACCAUAAAAAUAAAUAAUUGUUUGUAUAUUUAGCGAUUUCUGAUGAAGGUUUGGUUGGUCGUUGUAGGUAAUGUGUUAUGGACUAUAGGUGAUGGUUGACUGACAAAUUUCUGGAAUGAUGUAUGGGUUCAAGAAGUUGGCAAAAUUAGGGAUUUUUAUGUAGGUACUGGACACCCUAAUGAUACUUUACGUGUUUGUGAUUAAGUUAUAUAGAUUCUUUCCUGAAAACAUUGUUAAGAUAAUUGUUUCUAUGAUUCCUCCUUCUGUUGCUGCAGAAACAAAUAGGUUGGCUUGGAAAUGGAUGUCUAUGGACAAGUUCUCAAGUGUCGUAACCUACAAGAAUUUGUGUCAUCUUGUUUGUGGUGUUGGUUCUUCUUGUUGGAAAUUCAUUUGGAAAGCUAAAGUGCCUCAAAGAGUUCGUGUAUUCUUUUGGACCUUUGGGCAGGACAGUUUACUGACUAAUGGCGAGAGAACAAAAAGACAUAUGUUGAAUAAUUGAGAAUGAAUUGAUUUUUUAUUAUUUUGGAUUGAUUCAUUUUUUAGAUUUUAUAGAUAUGAUAUUUUAAUUUAUAUAAUGUUGAAUCUUUGAAAUUCUAGAUAAUUUUUUUUUUCAGUUUUGAUUAACUAUGAUUCAAUC
rnacentral:lncRNA from 1 species